rfam:Salinarchaeum sp. Harcht-Bsk1, complete genome.
UAAGGCGGCCAUAGCGGUGGGGUCACUCCCGUACCCAUCCCGAACACGGAAGAUAAGCCCACCUGCGUUCCGGCGAGUACUGGAGUGCGCGAGCCUCUGGGAAAUCCGGUUCGCCGCCUACC